GACGAACGCUGGCGGCGUGCUUAACACAUGCAAGUCGAACGGAAAGGCCCUGCUUUUGUGGGGUGCUCGAGUGGCGAACGGGUGAGUAACACGUGAGUAACCUGCCCUUGACUUUGGGAUAACUUCAGGAAACUGGGGCUAAUACCGGCUAGGAGCUCCUGCUGCAUGGUGGGGGUUGGAAAGUUUCGGCGGUGGGGGAUGGACUCGCGGCUUAUCAGCUUGUUGGUGGGGUAGUGGCUUACCAAGGCUUUGACGGGUAGCCGGCCUGAGAGGGUGACGGGCCACAUUGGGACUGAGAUACGGCCCAGACUCCUACGGGAGGCAGCAGUGGGGAAUAUUGCACAAUGGGCGGAAGCCUGAUGCAGCAACGCCGCGUGCGGGAUGACGGCCUUCGGGUUGUAAACCGCUUUCGCCUGUGACGAAGCGUGAGUGACGGUAAUGGGUAAAGAAGCACCGGCUAACUACGUG
rnacentral:rRNA from 1 species